CCUAAAUACUAAUACCAGAUCGAUAGUGCACAAGUACCGUGAGGGAAAGGUGAAAAGAACUGAGGUGAUCAGAGUGAAAUAGAACCUGAAACCAUUUGCUUACAAUCAUUCAGAGCCCUAUGUAGCAAUACAGGGUGAUGGACUGCCUUUUGCAUAAUGAGCCUGCGAGUUGUGGUGUCUGGCAAGGUUAAGCAAACGCGAAGCCGUAGCGAAAGCGAGUCUGAAUAGGGCGCUUAGUCAGAUGCUGCAGACCCGAAACGAAGUGAUCUAUCCAUGAGCAAGUUGAAGCUAGUGUAAGAACUAGUGGAGGACUGAACCCAUAGGCGUUGAAAAGCCCCGGGAUGACUUGUGGAUAGGGGUGAAAGGCCAAUCAAACUUCGUGAUAGCUGGUUCUCUCCGAAAUAUAUUUAGGUAUAGCGUUGUGUCGUAAUAUAAGGGGGUAGAGCACUGAAUGGGCUAGGGCAUACACCAAUGUACCAAACCCUAUCAAACUCCGAAUACCUUAUAUGUAAUCACAGCAGUCAGGCGGCGAGUGAUAAAAUCCGUCGUCAAGAGGGAAACAACCCAGACUACCAGCUAAGGUCCCUAAAUCUUACUUAAGUGGAAAACGAUGUGAAGUUACUUAAACAACCAGGAGGUUGGCUUAGAAGCAGCCAUCCUUUAAAGAAAGCGUAAUAGCUCACUGGUCUAGUGAUUUUGCGCGGAAAAUAUAACGGGGCUAAAGUAAGUACCGAAGCUGUAGACUUGCGCACAACUUAGAUUAUUUAAGUUUAGAAUAUGAGAAACUAAGUUAUAUGUUUAGUUAUAUUUUUACUGAUUUUUAUAGAGUAAAGAUAGAAAUAAAACUUAGUAAAAUCAG
rnacentral:rRNA from 1 species